rnacentral:rRNA from 1 species
UACGUAGGGUGCGAGCGUUGUCCGGAAUUAUUGGGCGUAAAGGGCGCGUAGGCGGUGCUGUAAGUCUGAUGUGAAAGCCCUGGGCUCAACCUGGGAAUUGCAUUGGAUACUGGCAGGCUAGAGUGCGGUAGAGGAUGGCGGAAUUCCCGGUGUAGCAGUGAAAUGCGUAGAGAUCGGGAGGAACAUCUGUGGCGAAGGCGGCCAUCUGGACCAGCACUGACACUGAGGCACGAAAGCGUGGGGAGCAAACAGG